UAUAUAGCUGUAGCGUCAGUAAUGUGUAUUGUGUAAUAUAUAAUGUGUUUAUGUCUCGCCCGGUUAAGGUACUUGUCCAUACUCCAUGGUGUCGUCCAAAGUGACGGAAAAUGAAUAAUAAUCGUCUGCUUACAUAAUUAUUUGUUUGACUCAUAAUAUUAGAUUUAGAAUUGUGUGCUUUUUAUACCCGUUGUUUUAAAUUUUAGGAUCAGAGCCGUAACCGGCGACCUCAUCGUGGCUGUUUAAUAGUAGUUUUCGGGUUCGUACAUUCGUUCCAUAUUCAAAGGCUUACAGAGUGAGAAACGCUUUCAUCAGUCGAAGAGGCGAUAAUGGUGAACAACGUUAUAGGCUCUAUUUAAAUGUUAAUGUUUUCCAUGUGUGUGUGUACAUCACUUUCAAGUAGAUAGUAGUAUUUAUUAUAACAUAUCUAUGUCUUCUUUAAAGUGACUCUGAUCUGCAUGAAAAAUGUUCAAUGUUGUGUGUUUGCAUAUUAUAAAAAAAUAUUAUCAUUGAUUUGAUCGUUUUAUUGAUAUAUUUUAAUGAAUUAAUUAAUGUUCUGUUUACGGGUUUGUACAAAUUUUACAAACAACCUAAAUUAUUUACAUACGUUAGUUUAAGACUUGAGAGAGUCAGAAGCGCUGUAAAGGGCUGUAGAGGUGAUGCCCAUAUUUCAUAGCCAUAGUUAUAAUAUGUGUUUUUCGGACUUGCCAAAGAAUAGAUAAUUGUCAUUUAUCUUUUGGUUGAAGUGGGAUUUUUCAGAAAAUGACUUAGAACAUACUUUUAUAUUUGUGUGUUCUUAGUCAUUUUCAAAAAAAAACCCACUUCGUGACAGCGACAACUACAGACACAACUUAUUGGCGGAGUUAGCUGUGAGAGAACCGUCGUACCGGAUAUAAAGCCAUGAACCAAACGUCGCUCUUCAACGAGAUUAGUGUCAAUGGUUUGAAAGGUAUGAAGCGCAUAAAAACAAAUAGAUGGUCGUCUUGAAGAUGAAGUGGGAAUUUUGAGAAAAAGACUUUAAGCACACGGUAUAUAUUUUGUGUGCUUUAAGUCUUUUUCACAAAAAAUCCACAUCAUGUCGUCAAUGACCAAAGCGAUCAAAGACGGACACAACGUAAUGCAGAGUUAGAUCUGAGUUGACCGUCAUACUGGUGAUUGAACCAUUAACGCACUCCAAUCAGAUUAGGCUACAAACUGAUCUACUCACAGUUGUCAAACUAAUUAAAAUUAUUGUAACUAGUUAUGAAUGUUUUUUUCAUUUGUGUGUAGAGAGCUCCUAUAAUUAUUUAAUUUAACAUAUUUAUUAUUAUAAGAAUUUUUAAUUAUCAUAAUGUAAACCUUUUUUUUUACCCUUAUAUAUAAUAUAUAAAAUAUAUUUUUCUUAUAAUAAUAACCAAUGUUUGUGAUUGGCAAUUUUAUUGAUGUAUACAUUUUUUUUUAUCUAAGAUAAAUUCAAUGAUAUCAAUUUAAGUGUUAACAACUUUUUAGAUAUUUUUGAAUAGGCCAUGCAAAUAAUUACA